rnacentral:rRNA from 1 species
GAUGAACGCUGGCGGCGUGCCUAAUACAUGCAAGUCGAGCGACAAGAUAGGGAGCUCGCUCCUUUGCCGGUAGCGGCGGACGGGUGAGUAACACGUGGAUAACCUACCUAUAUUACGGGGAGAAUUCCGUAAAACCGCUUCUAAUGCUGGAUAACACUUACAACCGGAUGGUUCUAAAGAGAAACAUGGCUUUGCUGUCUCUUAUAGACGGUCCCGCGCCGUAUAAGCUAGUUGGUAAGGUAACGGCUUACCAAGGCGACGAUCCGUAGCUGACCUGAGAGGGUGAUCGGCCACACUGGAACUGAGACACGGUCCAGACUCCUACGGGAGGCAGCAGUAGGGAAUCUUGCGCAAUGGGCGCAAGCCUGACGGAGCCACGCCGCGUGAGUGAUGAAGGUCUUCGGAUCGUAAAACUCUGUUAUUAGGGAAGAACAGCUGUGUAAGUAACUGUGGACGUUUUGACGGUACCUAAAGAGAAAGCACCGGCUAACUUCGUG